GGGUUGGCUGGUUAUUUUGCAAGCGGGAGGGGCCGUGCGCGCUCCUGCCUCAGGCCUCUGUCCCCCACCCCCUUCGCCGGUACCGGUCUCUUCUUAGGAAAGAUGUCGGACACGGCAGUGGCUGACACUCGGCGCCUUAACUCGAAGCCUCAGGACCUGACCGAUGCUUACGGGCCGCCAAGUAACUUCCUGGAGAUAGACAUCUUUAAUCCACAGACGGUGGGCGUGGGCCGCGCGCGCUUCACCACCUAUGAGGUUCGCAUGCGGACAAACCUACCCAUCUUCAAGCUGAAAGAAUCCUGUGUACGGCGACGCUACAGUGACUUUGAGUGGCUGAAAAAUGAGCUGGAGCGAGAUAGUAAGAUUGUAGUACCACCACUGCCUGGGAAAGCCUUGAAGCGGCAGCUCCCUUUUCGAGGAGAUGAAGGGAUCUUUGAGGAAUCUUUCAUUGAAGAAAGGAGGCAGGGCCUCGAACAGUUUAUUAACAAAAUUGCUGGGCACCCACUGGCUCAGAAUGAACGCUGUCUACACAUGUUCCUGCAGGAGGAGGCAAUUGAUAGGAACUACGUCCCUGGGAAGACAUUCCGCCAAUGUGUGCCCAUGGAGGCCAGAAGAGGACAUUGAUGCUUUCUUCUAUCACUCUGCAUAUUUCUUUGAGGUGAUUGUGAUAUUAGAAGCAUGACAGAACAGAUUGCUAAAAGGGGCUGCAGAGAUGGCUCAGAGCUCUGAUUGCUGUUCCAGAGGACCUGGUUCAAUUCCCAGCAACCACAUGGCAGCUCACAACUGUCUGUAAUUCCAGUUCCAGGGGACCCAACACCCAUGGCAAAACAUCAAUGCAUAUAAAAUAAAAUGUUUAAAAAAGUUCUGUUUUCCAAACAGGUGUGGUCAUGCACACUUGUAAUGCCAGCACUUGGGAGGUACAAACAGGAGGCUCUCCAGUUUAAGGCUAGCCUGCACUACAUAAUGACUUCGAAGCCAGUUUGGGUUCAUAUCAAGACCCUUCCUGAAACAAAUGAAUAAACAAACAAGCAAAAAUUUAAA